CUUCUUCUUAGCCGAAUGUAAACAAAAGAAAAAGAAGAAAACUUAGCUAGGUUCGGCCAUUGUUGAGCUUGAUUUAAGAUUUUGGAGGUCGAUACGUGCUCGGGGAUCAUUAGUGAAGUCAUUCACACUGUCAUCUACUUUCGGUACUUUUAAAAGUUUCAUUUUUGAACUUAUGGCAUGUAUAGGCUAGUAUAUAUAUAUUGGUUUUGGAUUGUAGGUAUGUAUAUAAAAAGCCAUGCGAAAAUGGCUUAUUUUCUUUUGUUAAAUUUUGGUAUUUAUAUACAUGGUCAGAUGAUCAAAAAUGGAGGUUUUAAUAUAAA